rnacentral:rRNA from 1 species
CAGUAGCCACGGGAAUACAGAGGGUGCAAGCGUUAAUCGGAUUUACUGGGCGUAAAGGGCGCGUAGGUGGUUAUGUAAGUGAGAUGUGAAAUCCCCGGGCUCAACCUGGGAACUGCAUCUUAUACUGCGUAGCUGGAGUGCAGUAGAGGGUAGUGGAAUUUCCGGUGUAGCGGUGAAAUGCGUAGAUAUCGGAAGGAACACCAGUGGCGAAGGCGGCUACCUGGACUGACACUGACACUGAGGCGCGAAAGCGUGGGGAGCAAACAGGAUUAGAUACCCCAGUAGUCCCUGUCUCUUAUAC